rnacentral:rRNA from 1 species
UACGUAGGGUGCAAGCGUUAAUCGGAAUUCCUGGGCGUAAAGCGUGCGCAGGCGGUUUUCUAAGUCAGAUGUGAAAUCCCCGGGCUCAACCUGGGAACUGCAUUUGUGACUGUAGAGCUGGAGUACGGUAGAGGGGGAUGGAAUUCCGCGUGUAGCAGUGAAAUGCGUAGAUAUGCGGAGGAACACCGAUGGCGAAGGCAAUCCCCUGGACCUGUACUGACGCUCAUGCACGAAAGCGUGGGGAGCAAACAGG